AAACUCAUUUUUUAAAGGGUGCAUUCCCUCAUAUUUUAUUUUUUUUAAUCACCAGUGAGCUUCUAUAAGGACGCGCAACCUGUGAAACCUCUUUGCUUCAGAGUGUGGAACAGAACGGAGCAGUAAGCACCACCUUUCUCCACCCUUCAGGCUCCAUCUUCCCCCAGCGUGCACGCGCGCCACGUGGAACCCUUUUCACUGAGAGUGUGGAAUUACAUUAUUCUGCAUUUGGAGGGUUCAGUCCUUGACUCCUCGCCUCCCUCGGGGGAAAACCUGGCGCCUCCUGCCCGGAUCAGACGACUCGGAGCUGGACGGAGUGGAGAGGGGGAGGCGGGGGAGGCGGGGGAGGAAAAACAGUUUUUAAAAAAAAAAAGGAGAAAAAAAAAAGGAGGAGAAAUCGGUGAAAUGUGGCGCGGGGAGGAUGGAGGGAUGUCAUGAGUUGCAAGAAAAGCAGGAGUCACGACGACGGCACAACUGCUGCAGGAACAGGGACCGUCCUUAAUUUGGGGAGCUGCAUCCUGCUUUGUUACUAAAUCUAAACAGAUCGACCAUUGAUGGUGUUUCAUCGAGAUCAUCCAUUCAUCAUAUUAAAUAAACAAUUCACGGGGUAAUACAGUUUUUCUUAGCUUACAUUUUAACCUGUGAUUUUUCUUUAUGCAGUUACCGAAAUAAGAAAAACGCGUAAUCAUAUCAUAAUAUUUAUAUACGUUUAUACGUUUUUAUAUAUUUUCUAUAUAUAUUCUUUCAAUGCUGCUGCAAUUGUAUGCAAAGUGCUCUAUAUUUAACUGAAUAAACUGGAGAUAGAUCCCUCCAAAACAAAUAAAAACAAAAACAAG